UGCGGGGCGGGGACGCGGAGAGAGGCAGGACCCGGACCGAAGGAGGGGUGGUCUUUUCCCGAGGAGUUGCUGCUGGAGGACCGAAAGUUUUUGCAGGCAGCCUUUCCAGCCUGCCCCUCUCUCUCUCUCUCCAGAUCCCUGUUGCCUACGGUUCUGCAGAUGCCUCGGUGAGCUGAAACCAGUGGGUAGAUGGAAGUGAUUCUAAAAGAGCAGCUUCUCCUUACAGUAGUUCACACCACUGCCAAGGGCUCUAAUUCUUAAGAAAAAAAGAAGAAGAAGAAGAAGAAGAAGAUAAAGAAAAAGAAGCAGCAGCAGCAGCAGCUUUGUACCGAGUUCUACCCUGACGGCUAGUAUGCUAGACCCUGUACCUGACACUGCCUUCCACCCAUCCCUCCCUCCAUCCACCUUUCCAACAAUGCAUGCCUGGAGCAGCGGCCCUCAGGAGAGAAAGAUGACACAUCCCAGUCCUCAGAGAUGCAGACCGGUGGUCUCUGCAAGAAGGAAUGUAUGAAAGGAAUGGACUCCUGAGGAGAACACGCCUUGUGCACAAUGAUCUGAGAGUGGUGGGGUCUCUCAAGGCUGUGCCUAUUCAACAAAGAACUGAAGUCCACUUAGGAUCGAUCAGAAAAUGUGUCACAGAGGAGCUGGGUGGUGGGACCCACAUGGGCCCACCUCCGUGUGCACAUUGGGGUGGGUACCUGUGAUCCAGGCUGGCAGGGACUGGUGGUAGAUUACAACGGAGACCCUGUUUAAGGUACCUGUCACUCAGUCUCUAUCUCUUUGUCAUGGAGGAAAUAAACUUUUUAAAAAGAAUGAAAGAAAAUAGAUCACAGAGAAGAUGGCACCUGCUCUGCAUCUAGGAAAUGAGGAAGGAUUUACAGUGGUAAAAUGAAGACUGGCCUUGCCAAAGGAAGGGACGGGUGAUGUGACAGAGGCUUCGGGCGGAGCAUCGGCAUGGUGUGUGUAGGUGUCGUGUGUGGUUUACCUGGGAUGGUGAGUUGUGACCGGGAGUUCGGGUGAUGAGUUUGGGUAACUCAUAACUAGGUCUGGGUGAAAUUAUGGAAGACACUGAAUGGCAACCUAAAGAUCCUGGCUUUUGUGUGACACUGGGCAGCCACUGAAGAUGCACUUUCUCCACCAUAAAGAUAAGGCGAGUGUGACAGAAAGAUUAACUCUGGCUGAGGUGUCCAGGACAUGUUGGAUUAGAGGCUGGGUAGAAAAAGGUAACGUUUCAGGGUUCAUGGUGGAAAGAGAUGAAGCAUGACCUUUGGCGUCUUACAGGUAGAGCAGAGAAGACAGGUGAGAGACUGCAGAAAGUACCUAUCAGAGAGGAUGUCAUUUGGCAGGAUCGGGAGGGAGAGUAAGAGAGCGCUUAGAGGCAUAAGUCGUUAGCUGCUGAAAUAUUUUCCCUUCCCUCCCUGCUUUCCUCGUUUCUCCUCUAUUGAUGAUCUAUUUUGGUGUUUGUAUUUCUUCAUGACUGUACACACAAGGAAGGUGUAGGUAGGUGGCUCUGAGAUGUCCCCCAAUGAUCCCUACUUCCUAGUACUCAGGCCCAUGUGUGAUUCCCUUCCUUUUUAUAGUGGGCUGGAUCUAGUGACGUGGUUCUAGCAAACAGAAUAUUGCAAAAAGAAGACCUGCAUGAUAGCAGAUGAAAUCUCACCCCACCAAGUGCUUCCCCACCCUGGACAUGAACCAUCUUUUCAUCCAGGAUAGCCAUGCUGUAUGUGCUAACCUUCUGAGGUGGGGUUAUUAAAAAGACCAUGGUUUCUGUCUGCCUACUCUCUCUUGCUCCUCUUUCUCUAAGAGUAGUCCAUUGUCAUGUUGUGAGCUGCCCCCUGAAACCAAGGGAAGCCUCUGGCCAAAAGCCAGCAAGGAACUGAGACCCUGAGUCCAGCAGCCUGUGAGGAGGUGAAUCCUGCCAGUAGCCACUUGAGUGAGUCUACUUUCUGGAAGUCAGUGACAUAAGCUUCAAGAAUUCUGCCUCCUCACAUGGGGGCCGUUAUAUGUGAACCACUCAAAAAAAAAAUCAAAGGUGGCUUAUCAUCAGAAGAGGUCAGGGUUCCGCAGUUACACAGAAGCCGUGGUUCCCUAUUUCCGCAGCUGAGUCUGUCAAGUGUGGAUUAUUGCGCAGGACCGUGAAGAUGCUAUGACUGCCUAAAAUUUAUUCCCUUAUAGCCGGGAGAUGUUACUUUGUAGCAUAGUAAUCUACGGGACUGCAAUCUAAAAGGGAUUUAGCAUCUCUACAAAAGACAACUUUGGAUCCAUUGCAAUAUUUAAUUGAUAACUGGAAUAUGCAUUCACUGUUGGAGUUAGAGGUAUGGAGGACGAUUAUACUUUCUGCUCUAAGGCUUUCACAGUUUUUCUGCUGACCAUAGAGACAAAAAUACCAGCUUUGUGAAACUAUCAUCCAUCUAAAAGUUUAUUGGAUAACAUGGGGUGUCGAUCAAAUUGCAUUGCUGGGAGCCAAAGAAUAAAGAAAACAUUGCUCAUCAAAUUGUUAGACUUUUAUACUUGACUUUGGAUGAAAAGUGAGGUCAGAUAGCAGUAAUAUUCAGGUCAGCAUGGUGCAUAUGUAUUAUUAUAUAUUAAUUAUGUAUGUGGCAAAUCUAUUGCAGAUUUGAAUUCCCUUUUGUAGUGAGUGAUUACAAAUACCGUUAGAGGAGAUCUUAAACAGUGGUCCCCAUUUCACACUCCACAGUUUCAGCUACCUGCAACCAGCCAUGGUGUGAAAAUAUUAAAUGGAAAAUUCCAGAAAUAAACAAGUCAUAAGUUUUUUUGU